GAUAACUGUGGUCUGGAGGGGAGAUGGUAUUUAUGGCCCCUAGGAAGAGACAUACCCACAGUGCUUAACUGAUAUACUCCCACACCUAUAUCCACACUCACUCACGUGCACGCACAUACCAGGUAUGCACACACAGUCACUCACGAGCACUCACAUAGACACGCGGGUACGCGCACACACAGUCAUUCACGUGCUCGUGCACAUAGACACAGACACAGAGUUUGCAGCACACAUGGGGAUCUAUGAUGGGGUCGCUCCUAUAAAGCUGGGUGGAACUAACAAAGGGGUGAAGAUUGUUUUAGAGGGACACCGGCCUCGUCUUCCCUUCUAGAAGUGCAUGCUUAAAUGAAGAUGAAUAAAGAUGAAUAAAGAUUUUGUAAAAAUAACUACUGAAGUUCCGGUGCCGUUUCUGGAUCCCUCGACGAAUGAAGAACCGGGGCAAAACUGAUUUCGCAACAGUUUUGUUGCCGAAACCCUGGGAUUCGCUCGUGGCCCAGAGAGGAUGAAUUGGCAGAGCUGAGAUCGUGAAACGAGGCGAACAGAGAGCUAGCUCACAUGAUUAAAAGGUAAGCACGACCUGUUUAUUUUCGAACCGUGCAUAUUGUUUAAAGUCUAAAUUAUCUGUUCGCCAAGUUGAGCGUAUCUCAGUGUAAUUUCACUCAGUAGUUAAAAGAAACGGUGUUUGAUCCGUUUUAGUGGCGGUGUGUGAUCCGUCUUAGUAUUAGGAAAAAGUGGCGGUGUGUGAUCCGUCCUCCGUGCGUUAAAGCAGGACACCUGUGUUACUAUUAGUUAGAAAGCGGGGCUGGAAGGCCUCGUCGCCAGCUUAGGGCUGUGUGUGUUCCGGGCUUGGUUGCCCCACCUAUUCUCGGACGCGGGGAUAGGACCUGUGGGACAGGAGAUCCAGGGUGGUUACCUAGGGGACCGGGGACGCCUUAAAUAACUAAAGCUAGGUGUUGGAUCCUAGUCGCGGUUGAUAACCUGCAUGAGAGUGGGGGCAAGUUGCUUCGUUAGUGAAAGCACGACGGCUUGGCUCACCCCACUGACUGCAGCGUUAGUAAAUUGCGUUGUGUGUGUGGAAAGCGCCGUUAGAGUCGGCGUCUCGUUUGAAGUACGGGAGUCAAUUAAAGUAACAAAAAUAAUUUGGGUCUAAAAGUGUGUGUUUGUGGUGUGCAGAAAUCGCGGCAGGAGGCCGUGUCGCGAAUUGUUGCAAACUGUGAAGUCAAUUGGGGGGUUUAAUUUGGUUUUAUUUUUUAUGGGGAAGAGAAACUGCGGUAUCCAGUCCGUGGCGCAGUUUGAAUAAUUCGUGAGGCAAAUGUGGCGCGAUCGGAAGAUCAUGAGCCUAAUUGUCCUAGUUAGCUUGAGGUGUACAAGAGCGGACGGCACCCGCUCUUUGUGCUGAUCAGGGCGUUGUCCUGUGUCAGCAGAGAAGGUGUCUCGCAGAAAGUUUGAAUGGGACUGCGAGAAGCAUGAGGUGUGUGUGAGCCAGCCUCGAGGGGCGGGGUCACAGGUGGAACAAAGGAGGAGUAAAAUGUGUGUGUGUGAGUGAGAGAGAAAGAAAGGUGGGGGCGAGUGACCAGCCUGUGUGUGUGUGUGAAUUCCUUGAUGACAAAAGAGGGAGAAAAAGUAGAUUUGUUGAUUUUCUGUGAAAUAAUGAUAGUUAAGAAAUCAAAGUGAUCAAAUAGGAGAAAAUGAACUAAAGUAACUAAAGAAAAACUAAACAGUGGAUUAGCGUUAAAGUAAUGAUAAAUAAAUUGAUAAAAUUAACAGUGACAUUUAAAGGUGACCAAGUACUCAAGGAUGAAUGGAGAAUUUGUUUGCUGAUUGUAUGAGAGCUGUUGGGCUGAAAGGAAAAUGAGGUUGGAGGAGUGAGUUAACAGGUUAAUGUGUGCGUGUGAAACAAUGGGGUAAAAGAAAAGAGAAAAAAGAGAAAGAAAAUAAUGAAAACAAAGAAAAAUAAAAAGUGUGGAAGCGUGAAUGGGAAAUUGUCUCCAAUUGGGUGAAGCAGUGACACUACAGGUCAUCUUCUUCCCCUGCUGAAAGAAAGAAAACAUAAUUUGGAGUAUUGUGGGUGAAAAUAAUUAACAACAACAUCAAGAAGUUUUUUGUGUUUGUGGUUAAGAACAAAUAAAAUUUCAUUGUUGGGGUUUAAAGUCAGUAGAGUUCAAAACAAAAUAAGCGGAGAUGUGUUGCUUUAGGAGUGAUGAAAACAUAUCCAGUCACAGUGAAUAAUGAAAGUCUCUCAGUCUGUCGAUUACAGGUGGGGAACGGACCUGGAUCAAUUCUCAACGGGCGGCAGUCGGAAGAAAGUUAUAGGUUAAGAUCAUUAGAAAUAAAAAAAGAAACACCCAGCCAGCAUUUUUGGCUGAAUUGUUUUGCAGCUUCCCGUCCUCAUCCUGAAAAAGCAAGCUCCAAGGAAGCUAAUCUCUCCCUGAAGACACAGAGUGCACUACCAGAAGCAUGAGGAUGAACAUCAACAGUGGACAGCAGUCUGAGAGACAAUACCAGAGACCUGAGCAGAGAGGUCCAGCAGCACUUUGGGCAAACGGCAUCAGAAAGAGAAGAUCCAUCAUCUUGAUUGGAUGAAUGGAGAUGCGUUUCCAGCAAGCUGCAACUUCACUGUGUGUGAAGGACCUUUGAGAAGAUUGUUGGAGUUUGACACUUGCUGUGUUUGGAGCAAGAUGGCAAUGGAAGAGACCGUGGGAGCAAACAUGGGACAAAACUGAAGAGAACUGACUGUCAUUGGACUGCAAAGUGGGAGAGAAGAAUGGAGAGAGAGGAGCAGGUGAGGACAGAGGAAGGCUGUUUUAGUGUGGGGAAUCAAAUUGGGUUAAGGAAUCUGGGGAGACAAACGACUGCCUUGAAGUGGAGGAUUGACAAAGUGUCCAGACCACCACAAAAGGGGGAGGAAGACAAGCACUGAGGUAUGCAAGAGUACUGUUAGAGAAAAUGGAAAGGCAACACCACACAUGCACAUGAUAUGCACUACAGAGAAUACAAAAUCAUACAUAAAGUGUUACACAUCAAAAGAGGAUAUUUGUAGAAGGGGUUAAUAACACACAGCGUGGUUGCCAAUGGUAACCUGCAAGCAUUUGGGGUUUAGCUGUGCCUGAGUAUGAUAGAGAUUUUCAUUUAGAUGUUUCUGAAACAAAAUUUGGAGUGAACAGAGUUUUGUUUCAGAAAAAAGGGGGAAGGUACAUAAAAGGACACACAGAAAUAGAAAAUGUAUUAACCCGACUAACACACACACACGCAAUGAAGCUCAUUAGGAUCAAACACAAUUUUAAGUAGGCAAUACUGUUACCAUCAUCCUGUCUGGUUUAUUGAGUGGGUUGAGAAGUGAUACAUAGACGACUGAAUUAGUAUUAUUUUGGGGAACAGGAUAACAGGGAUGAACAGAAUCCUGCAGCCAGAGUUUAAAUGAAUAAAACUAGCAGAUCUUUUGUUUUUUGUUUUGUUUUUGUUUCUGAUGUAUAGGGAAGGCUGUACCAUGGCACCAAGUUUUAGAUUUGGUGUGUUUUCACCUAUUAGAAAAAUAAUAUUCUGGGAUGAGUCCUAAGACCAGGCUUCUGUAUUUUUAUUUAAUUUUGUUUUUCAGUUUUAUCUGUUAUUUUUAUUUUUAUUUUGUUUUUUGGACAGUGCACUGAUUUCUGUUUGUGAAUUUCUUUUCUUUAAGCAGAUCUGCACGACGGGAAUUAAAAGCGCUAUACGACACGUCGAGAAAACCGUUGCGAGUGAGUUUCUCCAAAAAUUACAAUGGGCUCUGGAGAAAGCCGCUGAUUUGGGACAAUUGGAAAAUGAGAGUCCCUGCCCAAAAAGGAUUCAGCGAGAUAAUCCGAUCUAAAGUUCUUUUUUUUGAAAUGACGUCAUUUUGCUGUGGGUGGAAAUGAAAAUGCGAUGAUAAUUUCCACUAUCAGCAAAGAAAAAAUGAAUGAAUGAAUGAAUGAGUGAGAGAAAAAAAAACUGACUGACUGGUAAAAGCUGACAAUAGCUGAUAAGACUUGACCACUACUCAAGGUUAACCUCCACCUAGACAGGACAAAAGGGUGGAUGAAUUUAUGUGUGUUUCUUUUACAGGAGUAGGAAGAUGACAGCAGCAUCCUAGGUUGUGUGAUGAUUUAACCUUUUAAAUGCCACUUUCUGUGUUUGUCAAUCUAUUAGAGGUGUGUUAUUCAUGGGCUUGUGCGCAGCGUUAACAUUUACAUUUCUUUUCUACAGCAGAGAGUUAAUCAUGUGUUUGAUUAUGUGAGUUACAGCAGGACACACUAAUGGUUAAUGUUCUUUCUACUACAGGAUUACUGGGUUUAUGAGUGAAGGGAACUGUGUUUACAGGCUAUAUGUUGAUUAUGCUAUUACACUGUGUUCUUGGGAAAAUGUUGACUAUUACAGGGGAGAAGUGAAAAUAGUGUGAGAAACAUCCUGUGUUGAAAUCAGUGUCAUUCCUUUUACAGCAGGCUUAACUUUAUGACCUCUUACAGCAUCUCUGGAACCUGUCGACCUGCGCCUGACCACCAAGAUUGUCCAUCUGUGCUGUUAAUGUUUGUUUUCCUAAGAGUGCAUGUAGAGGAUUCAGCAGAAAACAGACAAGUGACAUGAGAAAACAAAUAAGAGAUGCAGUGUUUAUGGAAUAGUUUAAUAUGGGGCUCAUUAGCUGGCCACUAUUGAGCUCAUAGUGAUAAAAUGAGUGGAGUGAUAAACUUAAGGAAAGUCACCGAUUACAUUGUGGACUAAAUUGGGAUGAUUCAUGAUUUGGGACAAAUUAUGGCAAUAAUAGUGAUCUGAUGAUUUGAGAAAACCUGCACAUGAUACUUGCCUUUUAUGCUGAAUACUUUAUUAUUCUUAUGAUCUAUAGUCGGUUGAAAAUGUGAAGUUUGAUUUAACAGACGUUGUCUUCCAGGAUACAGGCUCCAGGUGGAGCUGGGAGUUAGACAAGCUAAACAUUUAUUUGCUGACUGAUGUUUUUACACAGGGUUACAGGUUGGAGUAUGGCUGCUCCAAGUGGGAAACCCUGGAGAUUGUUUUAGGGAGACUGUGCAACAUUCUAUGUCUCAUUGGGAAGUUGACACAUGGUGAAAGCCAUGUGGGGAGAGGAGUGUUAUUUUUAAAUCUGUAGAUGUCGUGAGGUGCCAUGACGAGAAGGAGUGACUGAGGAGAUCGUCUACAAGAUGGGAGCUGAGGCCAGGAGAGAGUUUUCAGGAGGAUCAGAGAUCACCUUCAGCACAGCAGACAUCACGCAGGAGAUCGUCAUGAGGAGACUCUGCACAGCAAGAUUUUAAAUAAAAUGAAAGAGUGUCGACGUUGAGGAAGACAACUAAGGUGUACGACGUGCUCUGCCUUAAAAUCUUCAGCAGCGUUGGAACGUGAGAAUCGAGGGAUGGAGAGAGCGUGCCAAGCUCCAAAAGUGACAGCGCAGAGGAAGUCCAGCGAUGGAAUUGUGAUUUUGUGAACAGCACAAAUGAUUUGAUGCUCUGCAGAGAAGCCUUCAGCAUGGGAAGAGAUGUAAACAGACAAGCCUUUUAUCUAAAUUUAUAUCAUGUCAACUUCUCUAGGCUGGUGAGGGGGAAUUUGAGAGAAACAGUAGUGUUAGGUGUGAUAAUUGUUGUUAUUGUAACUGUGAUUUUUCUCAUAAGUGAAUUGCCCAGAGACAGACCCGAAUCCAUUCCGGCGACUCCACCAUCACAGGCCACGGCGAAGCGAACCAAACGUAGUGAAACAGGUAAAUCAGAUGAGUGUUUUGAUUAUUAUGGCGGUAUAGAGUUGGACCACGUUAAAGGGUCCACUACCUCGUAUACAUUCGACCUUUGUGCUGUCAUUAAAUGUAAAGGUUUAAACAGUUCAUGGCGGGGAUAUGAUGUCUGGGUAGGUUAUAAUCCAAUGGUAGAUAUAGAGUGUAAUAAUCAGAAGCUUGUGUGGCAGGAUGAAUGUUAUCCCUCAGUCCAACCCACUUUCAGCCUGGCGCAUUAGGGGGCGCUAGUAUAAAUAGUGGCCAUUCGAGUGUCCCUGGAUCGCUUGCCUGUGACCUCCUUUUUGGUCACCUGACUUCCUGUUGGUGUUGCUGAGAUUAGUUGCGGGUUACUUUUUUGAAGCCUCCAUCGCAGCUGGUCGUAGCUGUAGAAGCCUCCUCUGAGCCAUUCUGCUUACGUUUUAUGACACGGCUUACUUGGAAGUGUGGGCCUUAGUUUUGCGCCAAGCUACGCAAACUGAAGGGCUGCUGCUUUGCUUUGCUGUGCUUUUACCGUCUGUUCCCGUUGCGAGAUUUCUUUUCCUGCUGCUGCCAGCUUUUACUGUGGACGUCGGCGUGGACAGCGGCCAUAUGCCCGCCGGUUAUGGGAGUCAGCUGGCGUGCAUAUUGAUUGACCGUUAACUUGUAGUCGUGCAGACGGCAAGUUGGAGCAAUACGGUGAUUCCGUUUGCUCCAGAUUUUAGAGUUUUAUCCAGAUUGUAUGUUGUUUUACUGUUGUUUGUUUUGUAGUUUGGAUUUUUGUUACGCCACUGGUGGGAGGCCCUUUUUCUAGCUGUAGAUCACCAGUGUGGUCCUGCAGUUGGGUUAUCCCCCAGCGCUACACAUUAGUUUGUUGUGAUAUAUUAAAAUUUUCUUUGUUUCUUUUAUUCAGAUGCGGAGCGCCGACGUGGAGGAGACUAGGGUGCCUUGGUGGUGGGAUCCUUUGCGUGUACACACCUGCCUUGUUUAGUUUAUUAGUGUGAGUGUGUGUGUGAUAGUGUGCUGCACUUGUGUCUUGGUGUGUUUUCUUUUUUAGUUUGUGUGUGGCAUCCCUGCCCCUCCACUGGUAAGCCUCAGCUCUGAAUACCUUUUUAAGCAUAUUUGUAUAUGAAUAUUUAUGAUUGUGCUUUUAUAUGGUGUUUUAAAUAAUUAUUAAUAAAUUGUUAAUUUGUUUAUCAUUGAACCUCGUCUCUGUACUGAGUAUAGCGAACCUAAGUGCCUUUUUGGUGAUUUACUGUUACUUCCAGUAUUCUCUGGGUGAAAUUCCCAGGGUGGCGUUGUCUUUUUAAAACUGUGAAGAGUAUUUACUUUAUUUCCACCUCGUGCUGCCACACUUGGCUACCCCUAUCACGCUUAUUGGAAGGGCCCGUGUGAGUACUGGUCUACCAUAGUGGAGUAUUCUGGCACGUGGCGCCCGUACAAGGACACCACGUGGCAGAAGCUUGGGUUUCAGCGGGACUUCUCAGCUGGGCAGAACCCGUUGACCCUCUCACUGAAUGGUUGGCGUGACACUGUGUGGCCCGCUCGAUCCGUGGUGUACUUAUUCAUAGGAGUAGACGUCUUAGGGAAGGACCCAUACGGUCUGGUUAAAAUUAACUUUAGAGAUUCUGCACCUGAUGUGGCUGAAAUAAUUAACACCUCCCCCACCAUUGUCACUUUCAGAAUAGGGCUCACAAAUACUUGAGGUAGAUUAUACAAGACUCAAAGCUAAACAGCUCAUUUCAAUGGCCACUGGCUAUCGUGAGAGCAAUUUAUGGCUAGACUGGCUCAUCCAAAAUGCUAGGGAACAGAAUGUUUCAGAUUGUGUGGCGUGCGCACCUGCCCGCCCACGUCUUUUCACAGAACCAGCUCCUUUAUAUCCCGAAGACCAGUGGGGAUUUGAGUGCAUGCUCAGACUUACCAGAGAAGCGGCUUCUGAAGGUAAUUGUACUAUGUUAGCAAGUUUGUCUCCACCAAUAGGUAAUGAUACUGUGCUUGGUCUUUUCACACUGAGAAGAGCCAACUACACGUGUUUCGACUCUACGGUGUUUUUCCCUGACAGACAUGAGCAUGAGGCCGGGGAGAUUAAUGCUGAUUGGUGUACUGUUACGUACCUGGUCAGAGGAAAGCUGUCAAGAGACACCGGCACUGAAAUAGGCCUGUGGGCACGUGCUGGUUCGUAUUAUUAUUGUGGUGGGUACAGAUUGUAUGUUAGAAUUCCUAGUGGGACUUUUGGUCUCUGUGCCAUGGUACGUAUAGGUGCACCUCUCGUUUUAGUAGGAGAAAAGGGGAUGCGGCUGGCUAAGCCCGGCACCGCUCAACUGAUAGCCACGUGCAGACGUCAUGUGUUGGCUAAACAGUCAUCAGGAUCGUUUGACCUUACAAUAGGAUCACCAACAUAUAUAGAUGCUAUUGGGGUUCCUAGGAGUGUGCCUAAAUGAAUUUAAGGUAGCAGACCAAAUUGCUGAAGGAUUUGAAAAGCUUCCCAUAAUUUCUGCAUUCUUUCCAGUAACUCCAAAUAAGAAUGUGGAUUGUAUCAAUUAUGUGCACUAUAAUGUAAUGAGACUGGCGAACUUUACCAGGGACGCGGUUGAAGGGCCUGCUGAUCAGUUGGGUCCAACAUCUUUAAUGGCAGUACAAAUCGGAUGGCGUUAGAUAUGUUGUUGGGAGAAAAAGGGGGCGUUUGCGCGAUGUUUGGGGAUAUGUAUUGUACUUUUAUUUUAAAUAACACAGCUCCAGGCAGCUCUGUGACCCGAACUCUGGAAGGCCUAAAGACGUUGUCCACCACGAUGUAUGAGCAUUCGGGAGUGGAUAACCUGUUGGAAGCGUGGAUGACCUCUGUCUUUGGGCAAUGGAAAGGUUUCAUUAUGUUAAUUAUGGUUUCUUUGUCUGUUUUUACUGCAGUAUUAGCGACGUGUGGGUGUCGUUGUGUGCCUUGUAUCAGAGCCUUGUUCGUAAGACUCAUCAAUCGUGCUGUGGGAGAAUCUGAUACAAAGGCAGACACCAUGUUGCCACUUUUGGGAAAUGGGGAGUCACAGUAUGAAAACAUUAUGGUGAAAGAUUUAGUGUAGUUUUAUCUGCCAUGGGGCAGAUAAAAAGGUGGAUUUGUAGGAAUGUUUAGCUUAUUUUAGAGUUUAGACAUGUGUUAAGAUAGAAUGUAGAAUUAUUGUAGAGACACUGACACUGCCCUCAAUAUAAUAAAGGCCUGAUUGUGUCGUGAGCUUAGAAGUAGAUUUGUAACUGGAUAACUGUGGUCUGGAGGGGAGAUGGUAUUUAUGCCCCCUAGGAAGAGACAUACCCACAGUGCUUAACUGAUAUACUCCCACACCUAUAUCCACACUCACUCACGUGCACGCACAUACCAGGUAUGCACACACAGUCACUCACGAGCACUCACAUAGACACGCGGGUACGCGCACACACAGUCAUUCACGUGCUCGUGCACAUAGACACAGACAC